rnacentral:rRNA from 1 species
UACGUAUGUCGCAAGCGUUAUCCGGAAUUAUUGGGCAUAAAGGGCGUCUAGGCGGUUUAGAAAGUCUGAUGUGAAAAUGCGGGGCUCAACCCCGUAUUGCGUUGGAAACUACUAGACUAGAGUAUUGGAGAGGUAAGCGGAACUACAAGUGUAGAGGUGAAAUUCGUAGAUAUUUGUAGGAAUGCCAAUUGGGAAGCCAGCUUACUGGACAAAUACUGACGCUGAAGCGC